rfam:Triticum urartu cultivar G1812 contig58173, whole genome shotgun sequence.
GCACUACUCCCUCCGUUCCGAAUUACUUGUCGCAGGUAUGGAUGUAUUUAGAUGUAUUUUAGUUCUAGAUACAUCCAUUUCUUCGACGAAUAAUUUGGAACGAAAGGAGUACAUU